GCCCACAGGAAUAGCUCAGUUGGUAGAGCAUGAGACUCUUAACCCUAGGGUCGUGGGUUCAAGCUCUACACUGGGCA